AUGAUAUCUGCUCUCAUCAUCAUCACUGUUGCUCUGCUCCAUGUUGCAGGUGGUCGGAGGACUGGAGUCCACCAGAUCCCAGGUUUACUGGUAGAGAGGGGUCGAUCAGCUCAGAUAAGUUGCAAACAAGAUCUUGGUGGUGGAUACUUUGAGAUGAGCUGGUAUCGUAAGUUGCCCGGGGAGAGUUUGAAACACAUCGUCUCCACCGUGCCUUACAGAACCGAGCAGGAAUUUGCAGAUUUUAGCCAAGACAAAUUCUCAGUGGAGAAGAAUGACGCUACAAGCGGAUAUUUCACUGUGAACAACGCUGAACCAGGUGACAAUGGCGUGUACUACUGUUCCGUCAGCAAAGCCACACUCACUGUGACGCAGAUACCCAUCAAGCUGCACUAA